rnacentral:rRNA from 1 species
AGAGUUUGAUCCUGGCUCAGGACGAACGCUGGCGGCGUGCUUAACACAUGCAAGUCGAACGAUGAAGUUAUGACGGAGGCUUCGGCCGACAGAAUAAUGGAAUAGUGGCGGACGGGUGAGUAACGCGUGAGUAACCUGCCUUUCAGAGAGGAAUAACAUUUGGAAACGAAUGGUAAUACCACAUAACAUUACGUUCUCGCAUGGGGAUGUAAUCAAAGAUUUUAUCGCUGAGAGAUGGACUCGCGUCCGAUUAGCUGGAUGGUGAGGUAACGGCCCACCAUGGCGACGAUCGGUAGCCGGACUGAGAGGUUGAACGGCCACAUUGGGACUGAGACACGGCCCAGACUCCUACGGGAGGCAGCAGUGGGGAAUAUUGCACAAUGGGGGAAACCCUGAUGCAGCAACGCCGCGUGAAGGAAGACGGUCUUCGGAUUGUAAACUUUUGUUCUUGGUGAAGAAAAAUGACGGUAGCCAAGGAGGAAGCCACGGCUAACUACGUGCCAGCAGCCGCGGUAAUACGUAGGUGGCAAGCGUUGUCCGGAAUUACUGGGUGUAAAGGGAGCGCAGGCGGGAAAUCAAGUUGGAUGUGAAAUGUCGGGGCUUAACCCCGGAACUGCAUCCAAAACUGAUAUUCUUGAGUGAAGUAGAGGUAGGCGGAAUUCCGAGUGUAGCGGUGAAAUGCGUAGAUAUUCGGAGGAACACCAGUGGCGAAGGCGGCCUACUGGGCUUUAACUGACGCUGAGGCUCGAAAGUGUGGGGAGCAAACAGGAUUAGAUACCCUGGUAGUCCACGCCGUAAACGAUGCUCACUGGAUCUUGGCGAUACACGGCCAGGGUUCAAGCGAAAGUAUUAAGUGAGCCACCUGGGGAGUACGUCGGCAACGAUGAAACUCAAAGGAAUUGACGGGGGCCCGCACAAGCGGAGGAACAUGUGGUUUAAUUCGAUGAUACGCGAGGAACCUUACCCGGGUUUAAAUGCAGGUUGCAUGAGGUGGAAACACCUCUUUCCCUCGGGACUACCUGCAAGGUGCUGCAUGGUUGUCGUCAGCUCGUGCCGUGAGGUGUCGGGUUAAGUCCCAUAACGAGCGCAACCCCUAUCGCCAGUUGCCAUCGGUUCAAGCCGGGCACUCUGUCGAGACUGCCACCGUAAGGUGCGAGGAAGGCGGGGAUGACGUCAAAUCAGCACGGCCCUUACACCCGGGGCGACACACGUGUUACAAUGGCCGGUACAGAGGGCAGCCACGGGGCGACCCGGAGCGAAUCUCUAAAGCCGGUCGUAGUUCGGACUGGAGUCUGCAACCCGACUCCACGAAGUUGGAUUCGCUAGUAAUCGCGCAUCAGCCAUGGCGCGGUGAAUACGUUCCCGGGCCUUGUACACACCGCCCGUCAAGCCAUGGAAGCCGGGAGUACCUGAAGAUCGUGACCGCGAGGAACGGGCUAGGGUAAUACCGGUAACUGGGGCUAAGUCGUAACAAGGUA